AUUCUAAGCAUUGAAUUUGUCAACAACGUGAACCACCGCCGAAGACAGCACGAUCAUCUGCCGAGUCUGUCUGUCGCAAGCAACAUCCACGUCCCUACAUCAGCAGCAACAGCAGCAAUCUGUAUAGCAGCCCUCCCGUCUGUCAUCCCUUUACCUGUAUCAUCUCCUUGCUGUGUUAUUCCAAGUUCCUUUUCGUCAAAAUUUGUGAGAGAUAAGCCCUGAAUUUACUUCAAGCUGACCAGCUCUAGCUACUAUGCCGAAGGUACACGACGCUGCACCACAGGAAGCCAGGAGAACCGUGAUGGGUACAUUCUCCGAUCAUGCCAUCACACGCGAGUACUACAGAAGGACCUACCCGCGGGGCUUUCGCUAUAUCUACGCAACGUUGCUGAAGAAGAUGCUACGUGAGCCCACCCCGUACAAACUGGAGUAUGCUGCAAACCUGCUGGAGACCAUGCUUGAGCGCAGGACGAAGGAGCUGGACUUGCUGCCGGAUUGGCCCUACUUCAACAAAUUCCUUCGACGUCUGGACAGUUCUCGAGUUCCUCGCAAGUCAGCAAACGCUCGGCCUUCUAGGCUAUUGAAGGAAAAUCCGUCUACUUCUGGAAGUGCUGCUGUUCAACAUCACCCCCUUCAACGUCCAAAUGAUUUUUGUUUCUCUGUGAACGACAGAAAACAGUAUGCCAUUUUAAUCUGUCUCUUAUCCUUAAAUUCCGGUUCAAUGCAGCUUGAUUGAAUGAUACAUACCCCGUUUGCAUUUA